AGAGAGAGCAGAGCAGGCAGUGUUGGCCAGAAAAAGAGAGGAGAAUGUAGAAAAUCAGAAGGACUGUUGGGAAGACCCAGCACUCUGGAGACACAAUGCAGUAAGAGGGGCUUUGGAGAAGGGAGGCUGGGGCAGAAGCAGAAUUUUGGAGGAGGUGAUUAAAGGAACUGAUCUGACUGCAUGGAUUCAUCAACUCAGGGACACCUGUGUAUAGAAAAUGCACUGCAUGCAGAAUCCUUUGUCGUGGGAAAAAAACUCAGGAAGCACAAUACUGCAACCUCUGCAGCCACUGAGACCUGCUAGAAUUGAACUCUAAUUUUCUGUAUAAUAGAGAUGAAUGCCCUUAGAGAAGCAAAUAUAGGAAAGGUUAGUGUCCUUACAGGUUAUUUUCAUGAUACUGCA